CUCAGAUUGAACGCUGGCGGCAGGCCUAACACAUGCAAGUCGAAUGGUAACAGGAAACAGCUUGCUGUUUCGCUGACGAGUGGCGGACGGGUGAGUAAUGUCUGGGAAACUGCCUGAUGGAGGGGAUAACUACUGGAAACGGUAGCUAAUACCGCAUAACGUCGCAAGACCAAAGAGGGGGACCUUCGGGCCUCUUGCCAUCAGAUGUGCCCAGAUGGGAUUAGCUAGUAGGUGGGGUAACGGCUCACCUAGGCGACGAUCCCUAGCUGGUCUGAGAGGAUGACCAGCCACACUGGAACUGAGACACGGUCCAGACUCCUACGGGAGGCAGCAGUGGGGAAUAUUGCACAAUGGGCGCAAGCCUGAUGCAGCCAUGCCGCGUGUAUGAAGAAGGCCUUCGGGUUGUAAAGUACUUUCAGCGGGGAGGAAGGGAGUAAAGUUAAUACCUUUGCUCAUUGACGUUACCCGCAGAAGAAGCACCGGCUAACUCCGUG
rnacentral:rRNA from 1 species